UGACUGGUCUGUCCCUGAAGUAAUAUCAGGGAAACCAGAUCAAGAACAACAUAAUUCACUUUUAGAACUUCUUUAUGAUCAUAAUUUACACCAAAUAGUUAACAUACCAACACGUAAAGAAAGAAUCCUGGACUUAGUACUCGUCAAUAAUCCUUCUAACAUUAACAAAGUCAGUACACUACCACCAAUAGGCCUUAGUGACCACGACAUUGUCUAUGUAGAAUCUGACAUCUGGUUACGCAGGGUGAGAGAAAAACCCAGAAAAAUACUAAAAUACAAUAAAGCUAACUGGGAUAACAUAAAGUUAGAUCUAGAAAAAAACAUACAAUGAUCUACAAAACCUACAGGACAAAACAAAUGUAAAUGAUAUGUGGAACACAUUUAAAACAAAUCUUACACAAUCAGUGGAAAACAACAUCCCACACAAGUUCCUAACAUACAAAAACAGACUACCUUGGAUUCAUAACAACCUUAGGAAAAUGAUAAAUAGAAAAAAUAAAUUAUAUUAUAAAAUGAAACAAAACACCAAGUAUGCAGACAAGUACAAACAUCUGAAAAAAACAAGUACAAAAAGAACAAAGGUUAGCAUAUUGGGGUUACAUUGAAAAAAUGAUAUUGGAUUUACCAAUAAAUGAACCGGACCAACCAUGUAACAAUCAGUCAAAACCUAAAAAACUGUUUUCCUUCAUAAAAUCACUGCGCACAGAUAACACCGGUGUAGCUCCCUUGAAAAAAGAAGGACAGUUAAUAGCAGACACAAAGCAAAAGGCAGACAUCCUCAACACACAGUUCCAAUCAGUGUUUACAACUGAAUCAAAUAACACCAUUCCAGACAAAGGUCCUAGCUCACACCCUGUGAUAACACCACUUGAAAUAUCUUUACCUGGUGUCAAAAAACUACUACACAACAUAAACCCUCAUAAGGCAACUGGCCCAGACAACAUCAGUGGUAGAAUAUUAAAAGAACUCAAAGAUCAAACAGCUCCAAUUCUUACACUAAUCUUCAAAACAUCAUUUGAAACUGGCAUAAC
rnacentral:lncRNA from 1 species